GGGCGCACGGUGGAUGCCUUGACACUAGGAGUCGAUGAAGGACGGGACUAACGCCGAUAUGCUUCGGGGAGCUGUAAGUAAGCUUUGAUCCGAAGAUUUCCGAAUGGGGAAACCCACCAUACGUAAUGGUAUGGUAUCCUUACCUGAAUACAUAGGGUAAGGAAGACAGACCCAGGGAACUGAAACAUCUAAGUACCUGGAGGAAGAGAAAGCAAAUGCGAUUUCCUGAGUAGCGGCGAGCGAAACGGAACAUAGCCCAAACCAAGAGGCUUGCCUCUUGGGGUUGUAGGACAUUCUAUACGGAGUUACAAAGGAACGAGGUAGACGAAGCGACCUGGAAAGGUCCGUCGUAGAGGGUAACAACCCCGUAGUCGAAACUUCGUUCUCUCUUGAAUGUAUCCUGAGUACGGCGGAACACGUGAAAUUCCGUCGGAAUCUGGGAGGACCAUCUCCCAAGGCUAAAUACUCCCUAGUGAUCGAUAGUGAACCAGUACCGUGAGGGAAAGGUGAAAAGCACCCCGGAAGGGGAGUGAAAGAGAUCCUGAAACCGUGUGCCUACAAAUAGUCAGAGCCCGUUAAUGGGUGAUGGCGUGCCUUUUGUAGAAUGAACCGGCGAGUUACGAUCCCGUGCGAGGUUAAGCUGAAGAGGCGGAGCCGCAGCGAAAGCGAGUCUGAAUAGGGCGUUUAGUACGUGGUCGUAGACCCGAAACCAGGUGAUCUACCCAUGUCCAGGGUGAAGUUCAGGUAACACUGAAUGGAGGCCCGAACCCACGCACGUUGAAAAGUGCGGGGAUGAGGUGUGGGUAGCGGAGAAAUUCCAAUCGAACCUGGAGAUAGCUGGUUCUCCCCGAAAUAGCUUUAGGGCUAGCCUUAAGUGUAAGAGUCUUGGAGGUAGAGCACUGAUUGAACUAGGGGUCCUCAUCGGAUUACCGAAUUCAGUCAAACUCCGAAUGCCAAUGACUUAUCCUUAGGAGUCAGACUGCGAGUGAUAAGAUCCGUAGUCAAGAGGGAAACAGCCCAGAUCGCCAGCUAAGGUCCCAAAGUGUGUAUUAAGUGGAAAAGGAUGUGGAGUUGCUUAGACAACUAGGAUGUUGGCUUAGAAGCAGCCACCAUUUAAAGAGUGCGUAAUAGCUCACUAGUCGAGUGACUCUGCGCCGAAAAUGUACCGGGGCUAAAUACACCACCGAAGCUGCGAAUUGAUACCAAUGGUAUCAGUGGUAGGGGAGCGUUCUAAGUGCAGUGAAGUCAGACCGGAAGGACUGGUGGAGCGCUUAGAAGUGAGAAUGCCGGUAUGAGUAGCGAAAGACGGGUGAGAAUCCCGUCCACCGAAUGCCUAAGGUUUCCUGAGGAAGGCUCGUCCGCUCAGGGUUAGUCAGGACCUAAGCCGAGGCCGACAGGCGUAGGCGAUGGACAACAGGUUGAUAUUCCUGUACCACCUCUUUAUCGUUUGAGCAAUGGAGGGACGCAGAAGGAUAGAAGAAGCGUGCGAUUGGUUGUGCACGUCCAAGCAGUUAGGCUGAUAAGUAGGCAAAUCCGCUUAUCGUGAAGGCUGAGCUGUGAUGGGGAAGCUCCUUAUGGAGCGAAGUCUUUGAUUCCCCGCUGCCAAGAAAAGCUUCUAGCGAGAUAAAAGGUGCCUGUACCGCAAACCGACACAGGUAGGCGAGGAGAGAAUCCUAAGGUGUGCGAGAGAACUCUGGUUAAGGAACUCGGCAAAAUGACCCCGUAACUUCGGGAGAAGGGGUGCUUUCUUAACGGAAAGCCGCAGUGAAUAGGCCCAAGCGACUGUUUAGCAAAAACACAGGUCUCUGCGAAGCCGUAAGGCGAAGUAUAGGGGCUGACACCUGCCCGGUGCUGGAAGGUUAAGGAGAGGGGUUAGC
rnacentral:rRNA from 1 species